rnacentral:tRNA from 1 species
GGUUAUAGCUCAGUGGUAGAGCACUCGCCUAGCUUGUGCAAGGCCCUGGGUUCAAUCCUCAGCACCA